AGAUUUACACCAGCUUCAAAUGCUGAGCUGAAAGCACGCACACAGAGGUGCAUGCACCAGGUUGUGUGAGCGACUGAAGACGCUUGGACAGCAGUGUGGAGAAUGGCAAUUUUAAGAACUUCUCCAUUGGAAAGCAAAAAUGAGUUGAAGCCAUCUGUUUCAGAAAGAACACUUCUGCAGAAUGUAGAACACUUCUAUAGAAGUUUCUGUUCCACGGAAAACCUGAAUGUUGCUAACCCUUCUGAGAACCACUAAUUAACUCCAAUUUCUACUACUCUUGGCAGAUGUUCAGGGUGCUCAGCAUCUCACAAGGAUUUUACCAUGAAUCUCACCAGAAUGGAGCAUCUAAUUUAACCCAAACAAAAUUAAUUUGCUGUGUUGAAUCUGAGGCAGCAACCAUCUCACGAGAGAGAGUCUAACCUAUAAAAGAAUAGCUACAGUGCAGAGCUUGGGUAUCCUCAGGACACAACGACGGGACCAAAUGAGGAUACAGAGUGCAGGAUCUGCAAAUUAAAAUGCUUCAAUUUUCAGAAAUUGGGUACAUACAGUGUGCAGAUACAAGCCUAGUUCUGAAAAUUCACAAACCCAUCAGAACCGAUGGCACCAUCUUAUUUCUUAAAUCCAAAGAAGAACACCACUCCGUACUCCUGUUGUACUGAAUCCAUCCGGAGUUCUCUACCGCUUGGUAUGUAAAGCUGUGCUUUGAGGAGGGAAGGCAGAGCAAACCACAGAGCUUCAGAGAAACCAGAUGCACACAUAAAGCAAGAAGUGGAGGUCAUGAAAAAAUGCCAGAAUUUUGUGAAGGAAGAAGGCGGCACACUGUGCCAACCACAGCCAACCACAGGAAAAAAAAAAAUGGAAGGCAGAAAAAAGUAAUGGGAAUAGAUACAAACCCUUGCUAAGCCUACUGGAAUAUGGACUUCAAUAACAAGAGUUUCAUUUAGAACAGAGAUGGGUUGUAAAACAACAGCAUCUAGUGAGUAAUCUGCUGGUCUGUGAAGCCAUCCCUCUCCAUUAGGCACUCCUAAAAGCAAGCUGUCAUCUAACAUCAAAAGCCUUGCCCUGACUUUGCACCUUUUAAGCCCUCAAAUGAGCACUGAAGCCCACAGAAGUUUUAUGCAGGCUUUCUGCAGCCUGGUGCUGGUCAGCCCGGACCACAGGGCCAACAUUUUUCUCAGCAAUACUGGUUCUCCAUAGCAGGAUCGUUCAGGCUGGAUGAGAGCAUGAGUCACCUGGAGUUGGGAUCAUCAUGUUCUUUCAAAGAAAAAGAGGGUUUGUUCUCUAUGUGAAAACAUCCAGUGGCUGGAUAUAGCCUCUCUGCACAGGGACACAGUCCAGCUAGAUACUCUGUGUUGUCACGUGCCCUUUAGAGAAUAGAGAAGAUGAUGGUUAAGGUUGUAGAAAUGCUAGCACAUGGAAUCACUUUUCAUAACCUGAAUAAAUAAUUUUCAGAGC
rnacentral:lncRNA from 1 species